CCUACGGGAGGCAGCAGUAGGGAAUCUUCCGCAAUGGACGCAAGUCUGACCGAGCACGCCGCGUGAGUGAAGAAGGUUUUCGGAUCGUAAAACUCUGUUGUUGGAGAAGAAGGAUGAUGAAGUAACUGUUCAUCCCUUGACGGUAUAACCAGAAAGCCACGGCUAACUACGUGCCAGCAGCCGCGGUAAUACGUAGGUGGCAAGCGUUGUCCGGAUUUAUUGGGCGUAAAGCGAGCGCAGGCGGUUUUAAGUCUGAUGUGAAAGCCCCCGGCUCAACCGGGGAGGGCAUUGGAAACUGGUAUACUUGAGUGCAGAAGAGGAGAGUGGAAUUCCAUGUGUAGCGGUGAAAUGCGUAGAUAUAUGGAAGAACACCAGUGGCGAAGGCGACUCUCUGGUCUGUAACUGACGCUGAGGCUCGAAAGCGUGGGGAGCAAACAGGAUUAGAUACCCUGGUAGUC
rnacentral:rRNA from 1 species